rnacentral:rRNA from 1 species
GAUGAACGCUGGCUGCGUGCCUAAUACAUGCAAGUCGAGCGAACGGACGAGAAGCUUGCUUCUCUGAUGUUAGCGGCGGACGGGUGAGUAACACGUGGAUAACCUACCUAUAAGACUGGGAUAACUUCGGGAAACCGGAGCUAAUACCGGAUAAUAUUUUGAGCCGCAUGGUUCAAAAGUGAAAGACGGUCUUGCUGUCACUUAUAGAUGGAUCCGCGCUGCAUUAGCUAGUUGGUAAGGUAACGGCUUACCAAGGCAACGAUGCAUAGCCGACCUGAGAGGGUGAUCGGCCACACUGGAACUGAGACACGGUCCAGACUCCUACGGGAGGCAGCAGUAGGGAAUCUUCCGCAAUGGGCGAAAGCCUGACGGAGCAACGCCGCGUGAGUGAUGAAGGUCUUCGGAUCGUAAAACUCUGUUAUUAGGGAAGAACAUAUGUGUAAGUAACUGUGCACAUCUUGACGGUACCUAAUCAGAAAGCCACGGCUAACUACGUGCCAGCAGCCGCGGUAAUACGUAGGUGGCAAGCGUUAUCCGGAAUUAUUGGGCGUAAAGCGCGCGUAGGCGGUUUUUUAAGUCUGAUGUGAAAGCCCACGGCUCAACCGUGGAGGGUCAUUGGAAACUGGAAAACUUGAGUGCAGAAGAGGAAAGUGGAAUUCCAUGUGUAGCGGUGAAAUGCGCAGAGAUAUGGAGGAACACCAGUGGCGAAGGCGACUUUCUGGUCUGUAACUGACGCUGAUGUGCGAAAGCGUGGGGAUCAAACAGGAUUAGAUACCCUGGUAGUCCACGCCGUAAACGAUGAGUGCUAAGUGUUAGGGGGUUUCCGCCCCUUAGUGCUGCAGCUAACGCAUUAAGCACUCCGCCUGGGGAGUACGACCGCAAGGUUGAAACUCAAAGGAAUUGACGGGGACCCGCACAAGCGGUGGAGCAUGUGGUUUAAUUCGAAGCAACGCGAAGAACCUUACCAAAUCUUGACAUCCUUUGACAACUCUAGAGAUAGAGCUUUCCCCUUCGGGGGACAAAGUGACAGGUGGUGCAUGGUUGUCGUCAGCUCGUGUCGUGAGAUGUUGGGUUAAGUCCCGCAACGAGCGCAACCCUUAAGCUUAGUUGCCAUCAUUAAGUUGGGCACUCUAAGUUGACUGCCGGUGACAAACCGGAGGAAGGUGGGGAUGACGUCAAAUCAUCAUGCCCCUUAUGAUUUGGGCUACACACGUGCUACAAUGGACAAUACAAAGGGCAGCGAAACCGUGAGGUCAAGCAAAUCCCAUAAAGUUGUUCUCAGUUCGGAUUGUAGUCUGCAACUCGACUACAUGAAGCUGGAAUCGCUAGUAAUCGUAGAUCAGCAUGCUACGGUGAAUACGUUCCCGGGUCU